rnacentral:rRNA from 1 species
UACGGAGGGUGCGAGCGUUGUCCGGAAUCACUGGGCGUAAAGGGCGCGUAGGUGGCGCGGGAAGUCCACGGUGAAAGUUCGGGGCUCAACCCUGAAUCGGCCGUCGAUACUCCCGGGCUCGAGCACUGUAGAGGCAGAUGGAAUUCCGGGUGUAGCGGUGGAAUGCGUAGAGAUCCGGAAGAACACCGGUGGCGAAGGCGGGUCUCUGGGCCGAUACUGACGCUGAGGAGCGAAAGCGUGGGGAGCGAACAGG